rnacentral:ncRNA from 1 species
GAACGUCUUCAGGGCGGGGUGCGAUUCCCCACCGGCGGUAGGUGCGGUCUUUCCGAUGGAAUGGACGCACGAGCCCGCGAGCGCCGAGGCUGACGGGGUUGCGCAUCACGAUGCGCGCUCCGGUUGGCCGAGGGUCAGCAGAUCCGGUCCGAUGCCGGAGCCGACGGUAUAGUCCGGAUGAAAGAAGAUGUGC